AUGAAUCCUGUCACAUGUAAUCGCUCAAUCAGUGCUUCAGCCGUACUUCAGAGACGUCACAAACAGCUCGUCAACAAGAUGUCAUGUUUCUCAUCAAAUCCAUAUUCAGGGACCAUCAACUUGGAUAGUUGGUGAAAUAAUGGCAGUGAGCAUUACUCAGGAUGGACCUUUUUCAUGGAGUGGAUUUACAAUUUCAUUUCUUCCGGGAGAUUAAUAAAGAUGAGCUGACAUAACAGAUGCAGACCUGCUAGAUCUGAUUGACAAGAUUGAGACUGCAGACACUACAGCCUUGCUUGAGCUUUCUGAAAGAAUCGUAGCAUGUGGUACACAGGAUCCUAACAUGUGAUGAAAGGAAGACAUUGUCAGGUGUAGUAUCUGUGAUUCUGUCCAUCUGACUCUCCUCCUUUCUCUUCAAUCCACACAUCAGGGUUAGAUGUUUUUGGUACAUUAUACUCAUUCGUAGACUCUCAUCUGCAGCUUUUUACAGGUUUUCCAUUGUCAUGAGAAAUAAUGAAAUAUCUGAUGUCCCUGUCACUGUUUUAAGUGCGGUGGGUUCAGUGAAGCGCAGC